UAGGGAAUCUUCCACAAUGGACGAAAGUCUGAUGGAGCAACGCCGCGUGAGUGAAGAAGGUUUUCGGAUCGUAAAGCUCUGUUGUUGGUGAAGAAGGAUAGAGGCAGUAACUGGUCUUUAUUAGACGGUAAUCAACCAGAAAGUCACGGCUAACUACGUGCCAC
rnacentral:rRNA from 1 species